rnacentral:lncRNA from 1 species
GUCUUGGCGUUCUUCCUUUCUCUCUGCCGCAUCUCCACCCCGCUGCUCUUUCAGGUUUGAGGCACUGCUGGACAGUGCUCUGCGUCGCCGGCUCGCGACAGAAAUCAAGAGUGAUCUUUGGCUGAUUCUUAAAUUCCUGUCAGAUGAUCUUGAAGUCCAUGUCCCAGCUCAGCCUACUUUUAUGAGCUGAUUUAUUUCUUGGCCUUAUGUUGUCUUUCCUGCCUUUUCACGUGCUAUACUACCUUGCAGGUUUUGAUAAGGCCAAACAGCUUGCAAAAGAUGGUAGAGACGGUCCUCACCAGGUUUCCACUCCCAGGAACGAACUCACCUCUCUUCCUGCCUGGCUUUUACUGAAGAGCUUAUCUAGUGGCCCACAGCUGGGGUGCAGGUUUAUUAGCGCUGUGGCGUGGAUCCCUGUGCUCCUGUCUUUGUUGUCAGUGAGACUCUUGUCACUGACCCCCUCCAAGUAUUUCUCCUGUACCUGUGACAAGUGCAGAAGUCGGCCUCUAGGGAGAGGAAGACAUCACGCCUGCAUCAAAAGACUCCGGAAGGGACACUUCUCGAAACACUGA